rnacentral:rRNA from 1 species
UUUCCGGUUGAUCCUGCCGGACCUGACUGCUAUCGGAUUGAUACUAAGCCAUGCGAGUCUUUGCAGUAAUGCAAGGCAUACGGCUCAGUAACACGUAGUCAACUUACCCUAUGGACGAGGAUAAUCUCGGGAAACUGAGCAUAAUACUCGAUAGAUCAUAAUGCCUGGAAUGGUUUAUGGUUGAAAUGAUUCGUCGCCAUAGGAUGGGACUGCGGCCUAUCAGCUUGUUGGUGAGGUAAUGGCCCACCAAGGCGAUUACAGGUACGGGCUCUGAGAGGAGAAGCCCGGAGAUGGGUACUGAGACAAGGACCCAGGCCCUAUGGGGCGCAGCAGGCGAGAAAACUUUGCAAUGUGCGAAAGCACGACAAGGUUAAUCCGAGUGAUUUCUGCUAAAGAAAUCUUUUGCAAGUCAUAAAACCACUAGUGAAUAAGGGGUGGGCAAGUUCUGGUGUCAGCCGCCGCGGUAAAACCAGCACCUCAAGUGGUCAGGAGGAUUAUUGGGCCUAAAGCAUCCGUAGCCGGCUUUGUAAGUUUUCGGUUAAAUCCAUGUGCUCAACGCAUGGGCUGCCGAAAAUACUGCAUAGCUAGGGAGUGGGAGAGGUAGACGGUACUCGGUAGGAAGGGGUAAAAUCCUUUGAUCUAUCGAUGACCACCUGUGGCGAAGGCGGUCUACCAGAACACGUUCGACGGUGAGGGAUGAAAGCUGGGGGAGCAAACCGGAUUAGAUACCCGGGUAGUCCCAGCUGUAAACGAUGCAGACUCGAUGAUGCAUUGGCAUAUAGCCAGUGCAGUGUCGCAGGGAAGCCGUUAAGUCUGCCGCCUGGGAAGUACGUACGCAAGUAUGAAACUUAAAGGAAUUGGCGGGGGAGCACCACAAGGGGUGAAGCCUGCGGUUCAAUUGGAGUCAACGCCGGG